rnacentral:rRNA from 1 species
AGCGAACGCUGGCGGCAUGCUUAACACAUGCAAGUCGCACGAGGGGGCAACCCCUAGUGGCGGACGGGUGAGUAACGCGUAGGUAUCUAUCCAUGGGUGGGGGAUAACAGCGGGAAACUGCUGCUAAUACCGCAUGAUGCCCGAGGGCCAAAGGCGCGAGUCGCCUGUGGAGGAGCCUGCGUCCGAUUAGCUUGUUGGUGGGGUAAAGCCUACCAAGGCGACGAUCGGUAGCUGGUCUGAGAGGAUGAUCAGCCACACUGGGACUGAGACACGGGCCCAGACUCCUACGGGAGGCAGCAGUGGGGAAUAUUGGACAAUGGGCGAAAGCCUGAUCCAGCAAUGCCGCGUGGAUGAAGAAGGUCUUCGGAUUGUAAAGUCC